UUCUAUAUAUAUAUAUAGGAGGAUAUCUGGCUUUCACCCAGAAGGCCCGGGUUCGAUUCCCGGUAUGGGAA
rnacentral:tRNA from 1 species